ensembl:lncRNA
UCUGUUACUUGAACUCUGUGAAGCAUUUAUUUGUGCUGCGAUUUUUGAGGCUGGUAACUAAUGAAUGUAUCCUCUGCAGCAGAGGUAACUCUUGGUCAUCCAUUCCUGUGGCGGUCCUCAUGAGAGCCAGAUUCAUCAUAGCGCUUGAUGGUUGUUGCGACUGCAUUUGAAGAAACAAAGUUCUUGAAAUUUUCCGUAUUGACAAACCUUUGUCUUAAAGUAAUAAUGGACUGUCGCUUUGCUGAUUUUGAGUUGUUCUUGCCAUAAUAUGGACUUAGGGCUAUUUAAAGUAAAGUACCAUCUUCUGUAUACCACCCCUACCUUGACACAACACAACUAAUUGGGUCAAACACAUUAAGAAGGAAAAUGUACUUUUAAGAAGGUACACCUGUUAAUUGAAAUGCAUUCCAGGUGACUACCUCAUGAAGCUGGUUGAGAGAAUGCCAAGAGUGUACAAAGCUGUCAUCAAAGCAAACUGGCUAUUUGAAGAAUCUCAAAUACAAAUUAUAUUUCGAUUUGUUCAACACUUUUUUGUUUCCUACAUGAUCCAUGCGUGUUUUGAUGUCUUCACUAUUAUUCUACAAAGUAGAAAAUAAAGAAAAACCCUUGAAUGAGUAAGUGUUCUAAGACUUUUGACCGGUAGUGUACAUUGGAAAAUGUUGUAGAGAUUAACCCCCUUUUCCCUUUGAGACAGACUUGGAAUGACCAGAGGUCAUAUAGGAUGGUUGAAUUGAAUAUUAUGCAAGAAUAUACUGCUAUAUAGCAGUAGAUUGGGACUUUUCUAUACUGAAUUCAGCUUGCUUUGAAAUUAGUUAAUGAUUGUAACUAUUUAUGUCAUAUUUAAUUUCUUUAAGACAUCACUGAUGCACUAUGCCGCUUAUUAAGGAUAUCAAGUAGCAACGGUUGGUGGAAUUGAGCUAGUUAAUGUGAUUUAUCCUAAGCUUGGACCCAUAGGGUCCACUGGGCUUUUUCCUAAUGCUAGCUUUCACUUCAUUUAUUAAGUCUUACCUGAUGCACUUUAUACACCGAGUAUACUAAACAUUAGGAACACCCCCCCCAUGGCCCAUGUUGACUCCCAAUGUUUCCAUUCUUGAGACACACGGGAAACUGUUGAGCGUUAGUUCUUGACCCAAACCGGUGCACCUACUACCAUACCCCGUUCAAAGGUACUUAAAUCUUUUGUCUUACCCAUACAAUCCAUGUCUCAAUGCUUAAAAAUCCUUCUUUAACCUCCUCCCUGUCAUCUACACUGAAGUGGAUUUAACAAGUAACAUCAAUAAGGGAUAACUUUCACCUGGAUAGUCUCAUGGAAAGAGGUGUUAUUGUUUUGUAUACUCAGUGUAUGUUCUGCUGGCAUAUAAUGGGUUUUCUUACCUCGGUUUUUCUAUGAUCUUUGUACAAUUAAGGCAAUAUAUCCCACUUUGAACUGUUACUCAGCUUGUUUGUAUUGCAAUUCCUCUUGAUCCAUUCAGCACAAUAAAAAAAGGCCAGGGUUGCGUUGGUAUGAAACUGGUGCUGUGGUGUUAUGACAUUUUACAUACAGCGCAUUUUGAAAGUAUUCAGACCACUUGACUUUUCCCACAUUUUUGUUGUUACAGCCUUAUUCAAAAAUGGAUAGAGAACUUAUACUCAUCCAUUUACACAAAAUACCCCAAUGACAAAGUGAAAAGUUUU